rnacentral:tRNA from 1 species
GCGGAACUGGCGGAAUUGGUAGACGCGCAUGAUUCAGGUUCAUGUGUUGAAAGACUUCCGGGUUCAAGUCCCGGUUCCGCA